ACUAACUUUAUAAUACUUUGGACUAGUAGCAUUAGUGAAAUUUAACGGAUUUGGCGGCAAGAUAGCUUUUUAGAGGAACCUGCCCUAUAAACGAUGAUCCACGAGAACCUUACUUCAUUUGGAAAUCAGUUUGUAUACCGCUGUUGUCAGUUAGAUUUAGGAGAAUAUUUUCUUUAUGGUAAAACCAGAGACUUCAAGUAAAGGUGCAGCUUAUAGUGAAGAAAGAGGUGGGUUACAAUUAAGAGAGUAAAUACGAAUCAAGGAAUUAGUUUACUUGUGAAGGUGGAUUUAACUGUAAGAUUUAAU
rnacentral:rRNA from 1 species